rnacentral:rRNA from 1 species
CCUACGGGAGGCAGCAGUGAGGAAUAUUGGUCAAUGGCCGAGAGGCUGAACCAGCCAAGUAGCGUGAGGGAUGACGGCCCUACGGGUUGUAAACCUCUUUUGUCGAGGAAUAAAGUGAACCACGUGUGCCUUAUUGAGUGUACCUUAUGAAUAAGGAUCGGCUAACUCCGUGCCAGCAGCCGCGGUAAUACGGAGGAUCCGAGCGUUAUCCGGAUUUAUUGGGUUUAAAGGGUGCGCGGGGGGAGGUUAAAGUCAGUGGUCAAAUUGGGGGGCUCAACCCAGAACUGCAGUUGAAACUGCAUGCCUUGAGUGCGGGAGAGGUAUGCGGAAUGCGUGGUGUAGCGGUGAAAUGCUUAGAUAUCACGAAGAACUCCGAUUGCGAAGGCAGCAUACUAACGUGCAACUGACGCUGAUGCACGAAAGCGUGGGUAUCGAACAGGAUUAGAUACCCGUGUAGUC